AACGAACGCUGGCGGCAUGCCUAACACAUGCAAGUCGAACGGGACCUUCGGGUCUAGUGGCGCACGGGUGCGUAACGCGUGGGGAUCUGCCCUUAGGUACGGAAUAACUCAGGGAAACUUGAGCUAAUACCGUAUAAUGACUUCGGUCCAAAGAUUUAUCGCCUAGGGAUGAACCCCGCGUAGGAUUAGCUUGUUGGUGAGGUAAAGGCUCACCAAGGCGACGAUCCUUAGCUGGUCUGAGAGGAUGAUCAGCCACACUGGGACUGAGACACGGCCCAGACUCCUACGGGAGGCAGCAGUGGGGAAUAUUGGACAAUGGGCGAAAGCCUGAUCCAGCAAUGCCGCGUGAGUGAUGAAGG
rnacentral:rRNA from 1 species